rnacentral:lncRNA from 10 species
CGAUUACAUUGCAUACUUAGUAAUUCCUUCAGAAAGAAAUAAAACAAUAAACAGAAUUUAUUGAAGUGAUCAUAAAAAUAUUGCUAACAUGCAGUAAAUCUAUUUGCAAAAUUCCUUUUAUUGAAGCAAUAGUAUGGGAUAUGUUGGGGAAAUGUUGUACUUCAACUGAUAGCACAGUUCCUGUAGCACAGCCUUCACGUUAUCUGACUGACUCUUAUGGAAGCUAUUUUACAAUGCUAGCUUUUAGGUAAAUAUAGCAUUGCAAUAUAAUCUUUGUCUAUACAAAAGCAACUGAAUUUUGUCAUUGCGGGGGAAGCUUUGUCUCCAUAUAGAUGUUCAUUUUAACACUCUUGAUCUAUAAAUGGGACAAAGGGGUGGCUGUUGGUUUUGAUGGGGUUCAUUUCAACAGAGGGGUGCGGGAACAAAGCACCAUUAGAUGAGGAAUGAGGACUGAGGUGGAGGGAGGUGCAAAGGGAUGUGAGUUGAGUAUUGAGAAUUCUUCAUAGAACUUUGGUUGCAAUGGGAGAAUAUAUGUAAAGAGAACAGUAACUAGGGUUGUAGAGAGAGGUCUAGGGUUUUAAAUUAUGUUUUAAAAUUAUCAAUGAUAAGAGGCUCUCUCAGGGUGGAAAUAUUAAGGAGAAGGAGCCAUCUCUUCUUAGGUCUAGAAACUGAGUUUACCACAACCCCCUUACUUCCUUGUUUCUAUUCUGGGGAAGUCUAAAACUUAACCAGAGGGAUGGUGUCAUUUGACUUUAAUGCCUGUUAACUAUGGGGAUGGAUAGAUGGAUGGAUGGAUGGAUGGAUGGAUGGACAGAUGGAUGGAUGGAUGCACGAUGUGUCAAACAGGUGCUGGUAUUUUAUCUUCCAGCACUGAGCUCCUCACACAGGUGACUGAACCCGUGGUUUUGGUGUCUGAGAAGAUGCAGCUUCUCCAGUCUCUGCAACUGACGGCAGGAAGAUGGGAGCACUCAGCUUCAGUGUUCAGAAGCAGAUUUAGGCCAAUUGCCAUACCUUACGUUCUGGAGGGAUCCACCCUGACCUGAGCAGAAGGCAUCACACACAUUCCCAAGCAGCAUGGUUCCCGUGAGAAACUGAAAACUAAUUUCUUGAAUCUACAAUGCGA